ACCAAGGAGUCUAACAUGUGCGCGAGCCGCGGGGCAGUACGAAACCCGUAAGGCGAAAUGAAGGUGAACGCCGGCGCGGUCCGGCGGAGGUUGGAUCCCGUCCCGUCGGGGCGGGCGCACUACCGGCCGAUCUUCUCCGCCCUGUCGGCGAGGUCGAGCGAGAGCGUGCAACUCGGGACCCGAAAGAUGGUGAACUAUGCCUGAGGAGGUUGAAGCCAGAGGAAA
rnacentral:ncRNA from 1 species